rnacentral:snRNA from 14 species
CCACUUUCUUUGCAGAAGCCCCAGACCAAACUAGGUGACCUAUGUUCCCAAAGGCCAAGCCCAGACACUGCUCCAGCCCUCAACACUGCCAGCUCUUAUGAUACUGACUGCAAGACUCUUAGUUUUUGGUUUUGAUCCCUGCAAGUUUCCCAAAAGCGGGAAACUUGACUGUACAAUUUUGUGGUAACGGGGGAACUGUGUUUGCACUUUCCCUCU